rnacentral:rRNA from 1 species
GGAUUAGAUACCCUGGUAGUCCACGCCGUAAACGGUGGGCACUAGGUGUGGGCAGCAUUCCACGUUGUCCGUGCCGUAGCUAACGCAUUAAGUGCCCCGCCUGGGGAGUACGGCCGCAAGGCUAAAACUCAAAGGAAUUGACGGGGGCCCGCACAAGCGGCGGAGCAUGUGGCUUAAUUCGACGCAACGCGAAGAACCUUACCAAGGCUUGACAUACACCGGAAAACCCUGGAGACAGGGUCCCCCUUGUGGUCGGUGUACAGGUGGUGCAUGGCUGUCGUCAGCUCGUGCCG